CCAGACUCCUACGGGAGGCAGCAGUGGGGAAUAUUGCACAAUGGGGGGAACCCUGAUGCAGCGACGCCGCGUGGGCGAGGAAGUAUUUCGGUAUGUAAAGCCCUAUCGGCAGGGAAGAAGAAAUGACGGUACCUGAAGAAGAAGCCCCGGCUAACUACGUGCCAGCAGCCGCGGUAAUACGUAGGGGGCAAGCGUUAUCCGGAUUUACUGGGUGUAAAGGGGGCGCAGACGGCGAUGCAAGCCAGGAGUGAAAGCCCGGGGCCCAACCCCGGGACUGCUCUUGGAACUGCGUGGCUGGAGUGCAGGAGGGGCAGGCGGAAUUCCUGGUGUAGCGGUGAAAUGCGUAGAUAUCAGGAGGAACACCGGUGGCGAAGGCGGCCUGCUGGACUGCAACUGACGUUGAGGCCCGAAAGCGUGGGAAGCAAACAGGAUUAGAUACCCCUGUAA
rnacentral:rRNA from 1 species